rfam:Picea glauca, whole genome shotgun sequence.
GUAAUGGUGUCUUUAGACACCACAUAUUUUCUUUGAAGUUAUUCCU